ensembl:lncRNA
GCAUAUGCAGUUCUGGCUCAUAUCCCUACUGUAGCUGUCAACCAGUACUGGCUACAGACAUGGACACAAUACAGGAAAGGAUAACUACUACAGAAAAAAGAUCUAUUACAUCUAUACAGCCUGGUGAUGUUUGCAUCACUCUGCUGCAUUUUGCUGACCAUACUGAAGGGUUCUGCUGCUAAGGAUUUACCAAAGUCGGGGCAUAUGGUGCUUUUGAAGGACUGCUGUUGGGAUCUCUGGAGCAUUUAAUUCUGGCUGUUAGAGGAACAGGAGGUAACAGUUCUUAGCAUGUGAGAGUCCCACUUUGAAAGAUGUUUAGUCUGAACACAACUGCAAUUGACUAUUAAUAGGGUUGUUUGGCUCCUGUCCCACACCAAAGACGACAGAUAGUUUAACACACCACACAUAGUAGAUACUGUUGCCUUUUUAGUAAUUAACUUUUUGAACUCUGUGAAAUAAGAAUGAAAGUAACUUGUGGGACAGGCUAACUUGAAUGAUAUUUUAAGGAAUAAUAAUCUUGUCUCUUACUAGGUUUGCUCAAUGUUAUCUCUUACAAUAUCAUGUUUGGAUUUGCUUAUAACAAUUGCCAAGAUGAAUGGUGUACUGUUUUCUCGCCCCUACCUUUUAUACUUCAUAUUUUUCUCUGAGAAGAGGUUUGGUAAUUUUCUCCUGGAUUUUUUUAGCCCUUGUCUAUAAAGUGCCUCAGAACUUCGUCUAUUUUUUUGCAUAGAAAGUGAUGCGCAGAGGGAUUAUGAUUAAAACAUUUGAAAUGAUGCUCAGACUUGGAUGACAGUGGGAAGGAAAGUUGUUGGAAAAACAUCAGGAAGACGAGGACUUCAGUCUCACUUUUUGUUCAGCAUAGCUGAAACUUCUCCUGUAAAGGAUGUUGGGAGUUAUUCCAAUCCUUCUUAUUUCUGUUGUGAGUAUCCUAACAAGUUUUUAGAAAACAAGUCAUUUGGAAAUGCUUCUUUACUUCUCGUUCCUUUUCAGCUACAAAUUCCAUUUGUUGUCUUCUUGCAGGGAAGAGCAGGCAUUGAAGGGCCAGGGCACUGGAGCAAAAAUGAGAAGCUCCAUUCCUCAGAUAGAGACAGUGCCAAAGAAAUCUACUUGCAGAAAGAGUUGAAAUCAAUACUGGCUCUCUACAUAAAUUCCAUCCCCGUGCCCUAA